GUAGUAGCUCAGGGGUAGAGCACUUCCCUCGUAAUGAAGUGGUCAUGGGUUCAAUUCCCAUCUUCGG
rnacentral:tRNA from 1 species